rnacentral:ncRNA from 1 species
CAAAAAGUAAUGAAGGAAAGAGUAGUAUGACUGGACUUUCCAGAGAGCUGCCGCCUGGUGCAAGACAGCAGGGACGGUCAUAUGAAGUACAUUCCUGAACUGCCUGGCUGAACCGUAAGUAGGCCUGGCCGGCAAGCUCCCGUUACAGAGCGCAAGAGCUGAUCUAAAUAUUUUAGAUUAACAGGGUGGUACCGCGGAUAUAUUUCGUCCCUCAC